UACGUAGGGUGCAAGCGUUGUCCGGAAUUAUUGGGCGUAAAGAGCUCGUAGGCGGUCUGUCACGUCUGCUGUGAAAACUCGGGGCUUAACCCCGGGCCUGCAGUGGGUACGGGCAGACUAGAGUGCGGUAGGGGAGACUGGAAUUCCUGGUGUAGCGGUGAAAUGCGCAGAUAUCAGGAGGAACACCGGUGGCGAAGGCGGGUCUCUGGACCGGUUCUGACGCUCAGGCGCGAAAGCGUGGGGAGCGAUCCGG
rnacentral:rRNA from 1 species